AGCUUUGCACAGUGGCAGUAUCCUAGCCAAUGAGGUUUACCUGAGGUGUGUUUAUUGCCAAUUGAAAAAUUCUGGCCAAAAAGGAACGUUGGUCUUGUGAGAUAGUAUAUGAAUUCUUUUGGGAUGUCAAUAUCAAGUUUUUUGAGACAAUAAAAUUCUU
rnacentral:snRNA from 1 species